GACGAACGCUGGCGGCGUGCCUAAUACAUGCAAGUAGAACGCUGAAGAGAGGAGCUUGCUCUUCUUGGAUGAGUUGCGAACGGGUGAGUAACGCGUAGGUAACCUGCCUUGUAGCGGGGGAUAACUAUUGGAAACGAUAGCUAAUACCGCAUAACAAUGGUUGACACAUGUCAUUUAUUUGAAAGGGGCAAUUGCUCCACUACAAGAUGGACCUGCGUUGUAUUAGCUAGUAGGUGAGGUAAUGGCUCACCUAGGCGACGAUACAUAGCCGACCUGAGAGGGUGAUCGGCCACACUGGGACUGAGACACGGCCCAGACUCCUACGGGAGGCAGCAGUAGGGAAUCUUCGGCAAUGGGGGCAACCCUGACCGAGCAACGCCGCGUGAGUGAAGAAGGGUUUCGGAUCGUAAAGCUCUGUUGUAAGUCAAGAACGGGUGUGAGAGUGGAAAGUUCACACUGUGACGGUAGCUUACCAGAAAGGGACGGCUAACUACGUG
rnacentral:rRNA from 1 species